GCUGCACUGCUUGAGGGCUUCAGUCAGAUUUUUUGUGGAAUGCUUUCGACAUUGGUGGUACCGUACCACUGCUUGCUACAUACUCGUGAUUGCUAAACUUGAGGCCCUGCUAUUGGUCGG